CAACAACGUUUGUAACGUUCAUUUUGAUUAAAUAACGUCACUUUCUUACAUGGCAUCAAUUGACAAUUGAUGCUAUGGGACGUACGCGCAAACGCAGACGGCAUAUGACAGAUUUUAAAUACAUGUUUUAACGUUGUUUUCUGUCAGUUUCAUUAGAAUGGAGAUAACGAUUUUGUAUUUUAAGCUCCGACGUCAUCAAUUUGGGAUUUGAUGGUCGCAAAUACC
rnacentral:lncRNA from 1 species